rnacentral:rRNA from 1 species
UACAGAGGUCUCAAGCGUUGUUCGGAUUCAUUGGGCGUAAAGGGUGCGUAGGCGGCGCGGUAAGUCGGGUGUGAAAUCUCGGAGCUUAACUCCGAAACUGCAUUCGAUACUGCCGUGCUUGAGGACUGGAGAGGAGACUGGAAUUCCCGGUGUAGCGGUGAAAUGCGUAGAGCUCGGGAAGAACAUCGGUGGCGAAAGCGCUCUGCUGGACUGCAACUGACACUCAGGGACGAAAGCUAGGGGAGCGAAUGGG